GCGUUCGAGAAUGAGGCCCAUUGUAUUUACAUACUCCAGUCACUAGCAUUGGGUUGUCCUCGCCUACACAUUUCAAGAUUUGUCUAUACGUUCACAGACCUAUGCACACAUUUACAGAUGUAUCUACACAUUCAGAGGCAAAUCUUUAAGUCACUUCGACUUUGCAUACCAGGCAGGAAGUGAAAUAUUUUGAGUUGGCUUGACAGAAUGAAGAGGGUUGAAGAGAGAUGGUGUGAUAAUGGACUCUAAUGGGCUUCAAACUUGAGUUAUUUCUUGAUGAGGGCUUCGCCAGCAAACAAGACAAUAAACGCAGAGAUGUUUCGAAAAUAAUUAACUACUGUUUUAUAGUUGCUGCCUGAAAGAUUAGCCUAUUCGGUUCAUUUACAGGCAGCUGUUGUAGCUUUUCUCAUCUGAAAAAGUGUGACUUACCAUUUAUUGCCGUGCUUAGUCUCAAGUCCCAUGAGCGCAGGCAGCAGAUUGCCCAUAUGCCGCAUUUACCAGUUCAGCCAUGAGAAAUGAGCAUGAGAAGAGUGCAUCGGUCUUGUAACAGAGAGAUAGGUCAGCGGCCCGCCUAACUGUUAUGUUUUCAUGUUUAAAAUAAGGCCAGGUGAUUUUCCAGUGGUGUGAUAGUAGCUAAAAUAGUCCAUGGUAACUUACGAAUUCGUAGCUUGUCUGGAAUUGGCAACAGGUGAAGGGAAGGUAAAGUUAGUUCCAUUAGGUCCAACUUGAUCAUGUAGCCCAUCUGAACUUCAAACCAUGUUGAAUUUCUAAAUCUAAGACACUAGGAACGAGUUCUAAUCUACUUUGUUCUAUAUAUAUGUAUUUGAAAAGCAGGAUGGUAGGCUACCAGCUGAGAAUUGAAAAUGCUUCUGUGACUGAGUUACCAAGACACUAGGCCUACUUACCAACUUACCAAGUGUCCUACUGGAACCUGAUUAUAUCAAUUUAUACAGCUGUAGAAGUACAUUAAUUAAAGUCCCAGUGACCUAUAUUCACAAUGCUACAUUAGCUAUAAUACUAUCCACACUGCAGUGCACCUAGUGUCUGUCUGGUUGUACUAGGUCAUAACCAUGUGGGAUGUGUUUUAACUGCUUUUGACCUUUUGUGAAGCUUUGUGAAGUAUGUUCCUCAAGGGCACGGUAGAUGUUUUAACACAGACGCAUUGCACUCAGGAUAUGAGUGUAGCCUCUUAUGUUUCACUUUAUUACUCACUAAACACCUAAUGCCAGAAGGCGCAAAGCAGAUGUCACUACCUACAACCCCUCCAGUGAAUUCUGAGACCAAAGUAGGUCCCAUGUUCAGCACAUAAUGAUGAGACUAAGUAAACAAAGGGCUGUAAGCUGUCUGUUCAAAAUGACCUAUGGAAAAGGCUACGUGUUUUGACCUCAAAAGGUCAGGGAGGCAAAAUAGAUGUAUUUGAUUAUUUGUUAAAAAUAUCUAUAUAAAAUCAUGGCGCAGCACUGUGUGCGAGGAGGACUUUUAAUGGAAGCACAGGACAUUUGUGCAAGCAACAGUUUAUCUGAGUGAAAACCAACAGUUUUGAGCAGAAGCAGAGUACAUUUGCACGUGAACGGGGGCUAUUUGUGAGACAGGGAAGGUUUUUACCACUGUGGUAAAAACUUUCAGGCAACAUUAUUCAUGGCACCGGGGAAAGUUACAUGCACCACAAGGGUCAAGCAACAAAUCCAAAGCUCUGUGGGGGAAGGCCCCUUCUUAUUACAGACUCUUCUCUACUGUGAAUGUUUUUUUGAACAUUUUUGUAAUUUUGUCAAAAUUUCUUUCAUUAGAUGUCUCAGGCAUGUGCCCGUGCCACAUAUAGCCUUAGCCCACGGCUAGUGUGCGUGUUUAUGUCCCUGCCAUAUUUUGAUCUUCUGUUGCAGAUUAAUCAUUCGGGGAUUAGAAACUAAAUUUUAAUACAAAAUUUAGAGGCAACACCAGAGUCAUUGCAAAAAUUCUGUUGGGGAUUACUCAGUAUUACCAACCAAUUACAUCAACAUCUUACUCCAAUUAUAUCAUUUAAAAAGUGGGAAUUUACCAUAUAUAAAAACAUCGGCAUAACCAAUGUUACAGAGAAACCGAUUUAAAGUGUAGGGAACAGGGAAAUGAAAGUCAUUACUAAUAAAACAGGAACCACUGCGUGUCACAAGUGAGCCAGCAAACAGACGCACAGUGUCUGUGGUGAAACCACAUGUCUGCUUGCAAUGGUUGAGACUCUGGGGGCAAUCUGUGUUGUCUGUUAGAAGCACUUGGAUCUCCAGACAAACUAGCAGCACUCACAGGUACAGUGUAAGAAUAACUAUCCUGUCUCCCCUUGUCUGUUGUUCUGUGCUGAUAUAUUCCCUUUUCUAAACCUUAUUUUCUCUCAUUCACCCACAACCUACUCGCAUGUCAUAUUGCUACCCACUUCUUUGCAUUGUUCAACGGUUUACUUAGUCAAUGUGUGUCUCAGUGGAUGGCUUACUGACAUCAGAGAGGUUAGGAAAGUGGAGUGUUAGUAUGCCAGAAACCUCUUCAUCAUUCGGAAACUAAUCCCUAUUGCAAUUUGAGCUCUGCCAGUUUGGAUGACUUGUGGACUAUAUCAUGUUACACACAAACUCAAAGACAAGUGCUUCUGUGAAAGAACAGGUAUUUUUUACAUGAACUUCAUCUGGAUGGGAAUGUUGCUGAUUGUUCAUAUGUAAGUUACUUUUUUCUGUGCAUGUGUGAACUAGAGCCACAGCGGAGUCUAUACUAGUAUUGUACUACUACUGAUGCAUCUACUGAUGUAUUAAGUGUCCAGCACAUUUAAGGUAUGCAUGCUCUCAUCGCUAAAUGGAAUGUUUUGCCGAAAACAGUAAAUGUGGUUUGUGGUAUGGGGCAAAUAUGUAAAGUGACGCAGAUGGGUAUUUCUCUGACAAGAAAGCUCUAAAGUGAGAAAAAAAACAUUGUAAGUAAGGCACUGAUUCAUCUAGUAUUCUCAAACCUCUGUGUGGUUAGUGGUCUUAAAAUGAGUUAGUGAUCUAGUUAUAGUGGGACUGAUGAGUGUGUGUGUGUGUGUGUGUGUGUGUAGUAACAGAUGGGUUCUCUGUCCACUGAGCUGGAGUUCUAUACCAUAGUGUUUUCUUUGAUGGUCUUCAGCCUAUUCACACUGGUCGGAGUUAUAGAGGAAAACUGCACAUACUCCACAGACCACUGUGAGCACCUGUGUGAGGAGCCAGUGCAGGUGUGAGCUACUGGGAAAGCUUCAGGACUGGAACUGCAAUAAGCUGACUACCAAAUAAUUGACUACCAUUCAGAGCCAUAUCUGAGUGAGGAGUUUUCAAAGGCGCAUCUGAAGAGCAGGA